rnacentral:lncRNA from 1 species
CAUUGCAACAUCGAACCAGUUACUGACGAAUGAGUAGACAUCCAUGUAACUGUUCGUAGUUGGUCACGCUCAGUACCCUUGUUCUUCAACAACCACCUACAUGUUCGCUCCAGUGUCCCCACACUGAUGACUCGAGAUUCGUCAUCCCAAAAGGAAAGCGGCACACACAUCAAUCUUACCGGAUCAAUCAUCGUCCCCAUGAUGAUCCUCCGAUUGAGAGCAUUUAUAAAUUAAUCACCAAUAAUAUGUAUCUCAAAUUCUCAACUCUUGAGAAUACAUAUUAUCAUCUUAUUAAUUCAAAGGACGAUUCAUGGACACAUUUAACAU